GGGCUUGUAGUGUUGGAAGCCGUCACCGCAGAGAACCUGCAAGGGUCGGGGUUCGAUUCCCCGCAAGUCCA
rnacentral:tRNA from 1 species